AUGAAGAACAGAGAUCGACAAAGAGAUAAAUUUCAGGGCAGCCAUCACCGUCAUGCAAUCGGAACCGUUACCGGUGAAGGUUUGUAGGUGGAAAGGCAAAUCCUUGGAAGCAAUGCAAGUCUGAUUAGAAGCGGUACUACCAGCUAUAGUUUCCACUCUAUUGGAACCAUCACUGUACAAUUACAAUUCCAAUGUCACAUGCAGCCAAACUGGUUUCAAUGUCU